ACACGCAUGACACACUGCAUAUCAAUAAGCGGAGGAAAAGAAACUAACAAGGAUUCCCUAGUAACGGCGAGUGAAGCGGGAAGAGCUCAAAUUUGAAAUCUUCAAGGUUCUACCUUGACGAAUUGUAGUUUAUAGAAGUGUUUUCUGUUAGUAGAGUGGCAAAAGUUCUUUGGAAUAGGACAUCAUAGAGGGUGAGAAUCCCGUAUUUGGUCAUUCCUUCCUAGCGUUGUGAUACACUUUCAACGAGUCGGAUUGUUUGGGAAUGCAGUCCAAAAUGGGUGGUAAAUUUCAUCUAAAGCUAAAUAUUGGCGAGAGACCGAUAGCGAACAAGUACCGUGAGGGAAAGAUGAAAAGAACUUUGAAAAGAGAGUUAAACAGUACGUGAAAUUGUCAAAAGGGAAGCGUUUGACACCAGUGUUGUUUUUCCGAAAAUCAAUUACGAAUGUUUUAUUUUUGAAGAGUUAUGACUUCAUCGGCUUGCUUCCUUUCUUUACGAAACUUUCUUAAUGCACUUUUCGGUUAACAAGUCAACAUCAAUUUCUUUUGUUGUAAAAGGGUACGAGGAAGGUGGCUUUCUUUUCGGAGAAAGUGUUUAUAGCCUUGUGCCUCUGCAAUCGGAGAGAUUGAGGUCUGCAGCGUAGAUCCUUCGGGGUUAGAUACAGUUUGUGCUAAGUUAUAGCUUUUCAUAGACAACUUGUUGACUAUGUUAGUCUUGUAGCUUACUCGCUGAUGCUAUUUUACCUACGCUUAGGAUGUUGAGCGCAUGUCUCUCUCU
rnacentral:rRNA from 1 species